GGGUUGUGAGGUUAAGCGACUAAGCGUACACGGUGGAUGCCCUGGCAGUCAGAGGCGAUGAAGGACGUGCUAAUCUGCGAUAAGCGUCGGUAAGGUGAUAUGAACCGUUAUAACCGGCGAUUUCCGAAUGGGGAAACCCAGUGUGUUUCGACACACUAUCAUUAACUGAAUCCAUAGGUUAAUGAGGCGAACCGGGGGAACUGAAACAUCUAAGUACCCCGAGGAAAAGAAAUCAACCGAGAUUCCCCCAGUAGCGGCGAGCGAACGGGGAGCAGCCCAGAGCCUGAAUCAGUGUGUGUGUUAGUGGAAGCGUCUGGAAAGGCGCGCGAUACAGGGUGACAGCCCCGUACACAAAAAUGCACAUGCUGUGAGCUCGAUGAGUAGGGCGGGACACGUGGUAUCCUGUCUGAAUAUGGGGGGACCAUCCUCCAAGGCUAAAUACUCCUGACUGACCGAUAGUGAACCAGUACCGUGAGGGAAAGGCGAAAAGAACCCCGGCGAGGGGAGUGAAAAAGAACCUGAAACCGUGUACGUACAAGCAGUGGGAGCACGCUUAGGCGUGUGACUGCGUACCUUUUGUAUAAUGGGUCAGCGACUUAUAUUCUGUAGCAAGGUUAACCGAAUAGGGGAGCCGAAGGGAAACCGAGUCUUAACUGGGCGUUAAGUUGCAGGGUAUAGACCCGAAACCCGGUGAUCUAGCCAUGGGCAGGUUGAAGGUUGGGUAACACUAACUGGAGGACCGAACCGACUAAUGUUGAAAAAUUAGCGGAUGACUUGUGGCUGGGGGUGAAAGGCCAAUCAAACCGGGAGAUAGCUGGUUCUCCCCGAAAGCUAUUUAGGUAGCGCCUCGUGAAUUCAUCUCCGGGGGUAGAGCACUGUUUCGGCAAGGGGGUCAUCCCGACUUACCAACCCGAUGCAAACUGCGAAUACCGGAGAAUGUUAUCACGGGAGACACACGGCGGGUGCUAACGUCCGUCGUGAAGAGGGAAACAACCCAGACCGCCAGCUAAGGUCCCAAAGUCAUGGUUAAGUGGGAAACGAUGUGGGAAGGCCCAGACAGCCAGGAUGUUGGCUUAGAAGCAGCCAUCAUUUAAAGAAAGCGUAAUAGCUCACUGGUCGAGUCGGCCUGCGCGGAAGAUGUAACGGGGCUAAACCAUGCACCGAAGCUGCGGCAGCGACGCUUAUGCGUUGUUGGGUAGGGGAGCGUUCUGUAAGCCUGCGAAGGUGUGCUGUGAGGCAUGCUGGAGGUAUCAGAAGUGCGAAUGCUGACAUAAGUAACGAUAAAGCGGGUGAAAAGCCCGCUCGCCGGAAGACCAAGGGUUCCUGUCCAACGUUAAUCGGGGCAGGGUGAGUCGACCCCUAAGGCGAGGCCGAAAGGCGUAGUCGAUGGGAAACAGGUUAAUAUUCCUGUACUUGGUGUUACUGCGAAGGGGGGACGGAGAGGGCUAUGUUGGCCGGGCGACGGUUGUCCCGGUUUAAGCGUGUAGGCUGGUUUUCCAGGCAAAUCCGGAAAAUCAAGGCUGAGGCGUGAUGACGAGGCACUACGGUGCUGAAGCAACAAAUGCCCUGCUUCCAGGAAAAGCCUCUAAGCAUCAGGUAACAUCAAAUCGUACCCCAAACCGACACAGGUGGUCAGGUAGAGAAUACCAAGGCGCUUGAGAGAACUCGGGUGAAGGAACUAGGCAAAAUGGUGCCGUAACUUCGGGAGAAGGCACGCUGAUAUGUAGGUGAGGUCCCUCGCGGAUGGAGCUGAAAUCAGUCGAAGAUACCAGCUGGCUGCAACUGUUUAUUAAAAACACAGCACUGUGCAAACACGAAAGUGGACGUAUACGGUGUGACGCCUGCCCGGUGCCGGAAGGUUAAUUGAUGGGGUUAGCGCAAGCGAAGCUCUUGAUCGAAGCCCCGGUAAACGGCGGCCGUAACUAUAACGGUCCUAAGGUAGCGAAAUUCCUUGUCGGGUAAGUUCCGACCUGCACGAAUGGCGUAAUGAUGGCCAGGCUGUCUCCACCCGAGACUCAGUGAAAUUGAACUCGCUGUGAAGAUGCAGUGUACCCGCGGCAAGACGGAAAGACCCCGUGAACCUUUACUAUAGCUUGACACUGAACAUUGAGCCUUGAUGUGUAGGAUAGGUGGGAGGCUUUGAAGUGUGGACGCCAGUCUGCAUGGAGCCGACCUUGAAAUACCACCCUUUAAUGUUUGAUGUUCUAACGUUGACCCGUAAUCCGGGUUGCGGACAGUGUCUGGUGGGUAGUUUGACUGGGGCGGUCUCCUCCUAAAGAGUAACGGAGGAGCACGAAGGUUGGCUAAUCCUGGUCGGACAUCAGGAGGUUAGUGCAAUGGCAUAAGCCAGCUUGACUGCGAGCGUGACGGCGCGAGCAGGUGCGAAAGCAGGUCAUAGUGAUCCGGUGGUUCUGAAUGGAAGGGCCAUCGCUCAACGGAUAAAAGGUACUCCGGGGAUAACAGGCUGAUACCGCCCAAGAGUUCAUAUCGACGGCGGUGUUUGGCACCUCGAUGUCGGCUCAUCACAUCCUGGGGCUGAAGUAGGUCCCAAGGGUAUGGCUGUUCGCCAUUUAAAGUGGUACGCGAGCUGGGUUUAGAACGUCGUGAGACAGUUCGGUCCCUAUCUGCCGUGGGCGCUGGAGAACUGAGGGGGGCUGCUCCUAGUACGAGAGGACCGGAGUGGACGCAUCACUGGUGUUCGGGUUGUCAUGCCAAUGGCACUGCCCGGUAGCUAAAUGCGGAAGAGAUAAGUGCUGAAAGCAUCUAAGCACGAAACUUGCCCCGAGAUGAGUUCUCCCUGACCCUUUAAGGGUCCUGAAGGAACGUUGAAGACGACGACGUUGAUAGGCCGGGUGUGUAAGCGCAGCGAUGCGUUGAGCUAACCGGUACUAAUGAACCGUGAGGCUUAACCUUACAACGCCGAAGCUGUU
rnacentral:rRNA from 1 species